rnacentral:rRNA from 1 species
UGCAUGUGUAAGUUUAAAGACCAAGUAGGAUGAAACUGCGGACGGCUCAUUAUAACAGUAAUAGUUUCUUUGGUUAGUAUUUACAAGGAUAACUUUGUGAAUGAUAAAGCUAAUACUUGAGACGAUCCGGGAAGUAUUUUUACUACUCGGCCCCCGGUUGCGAGAUCCGGGAAGAACGACAUUCUCUUCUGAAAAAGGAUGCCGCGACAAUUGAGGAAAGCGACGCUUUCAACAAGUAACCAAUGGGAAUUUCUGAUCUAUCAAUUUGUUGGUAGUAUCGAGGACUACCAAGAUUAUAACGGAUAACGAGGAAUUGGGGUUCGACAUCGUAGAGGGAGCUUUACAGAUGGCUACCACUUCUAAGGAAGGCAGCAGGCGCGUAAAUUACCCACUUGCGACUCGAAGAGGUAGUGACGACAAAUAACUCUUGGCACCCCUCGGGGUGACUUGAAGGAAUGAUUUAGAAGUAAAUUCUCUAAAGAAAUCAAUUGGAGGGCAAGUCUGGUGCCAGCAGCCGCGGUAAUUCCAGCUCC